AUACGUAGGGCGCAAGCGUUGUCCGGAAUUAUUGGGCGUAAAGAGCUCGUAGGCGGUUUGUCGCGUCUGCUGUGAAAGCCCGGGGCUUAACCCCCGUGGUGUGCAGUGGGUACGGGCAGACUAGAGUGCAGUAGGGGAGACUGGAAUUCCUGGUGUAGCGGUGAAAUGCGCAGAUAUCAGGAGGAACACCGAUGGCGAAGGCAGGUCUCUGGGCUGUUACUGACGCUGAGGAGCGAAAGCAUGGGGAGC
rnacentral:rRNA from 1 species